UAAGGAAUAUUGGUCAAUGGACGCAAGUCUGAACCAGCCAUGCCGCGUGAGUGAUGAAGGCCUUAGGGUUGUAAAGCUCUUUCGGUGGGGAAGAUAAUGACGGUACCCACAGAAGAAGCCCCGGCUAACUUCGUGCCAGCAGCCGCGGUAAUACGAAGGGGGCUAGCGUUGUUCGGAUUUACUGGGCGUAAAGCGAACGUAGGCGGAUCGUUAAGUGAGGGGUGAAAUCCCAGGGCUCAACCCUGGAACUGCCUUUCAUACUGGCGAUCUUGAGUCCGGAAGAGGUGAGUGGAACUCCUAGUGUAGAGGUGGAAUUCGUAGAUAUUAGGAAGAACACCAGUGGCGAAGGCGGCUCACUGGUCCGGUACUGACGCUGAGGUGCGAAAGCGUGGGGAGCAAA
rnacentral:rRNA from 1 species